rnacentral:lncRNA from 1 species
CAUGAUAAAAUUUGUUGAAUCAGUAAAGAGAAACAUCAGCCUCCUUUUUGCUUCUUCACUCCUCUCAUAAACUAUAGUCACGUACUCUCUCUCUAUGUGAAGAACCCUAGCAGUAAUUCUACAAUCUCUAGUCUCUAUAUACACACAUACAAAAUAUUUUCGGCGAGCUGGACUUUUCCAAUUUGCUACGAUAAGGAUUUUCCGGCUGACUUCAAG